rnacentral:lncRNA from 1 species
AGGGAUCUGUUUCUGUUAGCAUGACUCUAUUCCAAUCCAGGCUGUGCUUUGUGUGUUCGCAUUUGACAUCAGGUCAUAAAGAUGGAGCUGAACAAAGACGCAACGCCGAUGUGUACGAAAUUAUCCGACGAACACGUUUCUCAUCUGUCAUUGAUACAGAUAAAUCACAAACAAUCCCAUCUCAUGAGUAAGCAAAAUGUCAACCAAUUUUCUUAUCAAUAUAUUCAACCCGAAACAUUAAUGUGUGCCAAUAGUGGCCUCUGUCAACAGUCAGAUAUUUUGGUUUGGGGAUCUGAACUAUCGUCUUAGCAUGUCGGACACUAAGGUGAGAAAACUUGUUGCUCUAAAGCGCUGGGAUGAACUACUCAACAAUGAUCAGGUCAGUAUCACAAUAACUUUGUUAAUGGCUUCAAGAGAAACGAUGUUAAUGGCUUGGAUUCUGUGGCACAGCUUCAUAAUGAACUGCAUAGCGGGCACGUUUUCAAUGGAUGGAGAGAAGGGGUCAUAGGCUUUCCUCCUACCUACAAGUAUGAAAUGAAUUUUGAUAGAUAUGUUGGCGAGAACCCUAAAGAAGGGGAGAAGAAGAGAUCUCCAGCAUGGUAAGUAUGAGUUUCUACAAAAGUACCCGGACAAGAAACCUAUGUUGCUCUGGCUCUUAUUUUUCCAUAUCUUGACAUGAGUACUGAGAUAUAACCCUCUGAAAACCCUUUACAAACAGGAAAAAGCUAAGAAAAAGUGAACAUCCUUGUGUUGGACACAUAAAGUGUCCAACAUUCACACUCAAAUCUGAGUAAUUUAGCAAGAAACCAGAUAUAAGAGUUUCGCAAAGUUUCUGAAAGCACAACAAACCUGGCACAGUGGUAACUGAUAAUUAAUUAAGUUCUGUAUAUGCUUACCUUGGUAGGUGUGAUCGUAUACUCUGGUAUGGUAAAGGCAUAAAACAACUUUCUUAUCAACGAGCAGAAAUAAGACUCUCUGAUCAUCGACCUGUCAGUUCAAUGUUUUUACUCGAAGUUGAAGUAUUGGACCAUCGGAAGUUGC